rnacentral:rRNA from 1 species
UACGUAGGGAGCAAGCGUUGUCCGGAAUCAUUGGGCGUAAAGCGCGCGUAGGCGGCCCUGUAAGUCCGUUGUGAAAGUCAAAGGCUCAACCUUUGAAAGCCGAUGGAUACUGCAGGGCUAGAGUCCGGAAGAGGCGAGUGGAAUUCCUGGUGUAGCGGUGGAGUGCGCAGAUAUCAGGAGGAACACCAAUAGCGAAGGCAGCUCGCUGGGACGGUACUGACGCUGAGACGCGAAAGCGUGGGGAGCGAACAGG